AAAAAAGAAUUGCAUUGAUCACAUUUCUCACAAUACAUCUAAGAGAAAACAUGCGAAGGAUGAGAAACAUUUAACACCCUCUGGCCCUCCCAUUCUGCAUUUCGGAUGACUGACAUUGUCUCCAGCCUCCUCUCAGCACAAUGAACAUCCCGGUGACUAAUCCAUGUGCCACAUCUGUUGCUGUGAUCAGAGGAGACAGGACCAGGACACAGAAGAAUAUCCGCCUAUUAGUUGUACAGAGCGGCACAAGGCUUCGUUAUGUCAGACACCAGGGAAUACCUAACCUGAACUCUAUAUGGACCACCCGCUCAGAAAGUUUCAUGGACAUCACCAGUGGAAGAAACUCCCUGGUUGUGCAGCGCAUUGAGAGACACGAGCCACGAAGCAGCAAUGGGGGCUUUUGGGCUGAUUCCUGCAGAGCAUCCUGCUUUCCAUCACUCAAAUAAUGAUAGAACUCGGGUCCACCUGGUUCAUUCUGUGGGUCAGUUCCCUCCCUGGCCCCUGGUGCCAAUCUCAUGCCUGUCCCAUGGGGCCGAGUGAUGUACAGGGGGGGUCACAGGCAGAGGUUUGCUCCUGCAAGGGCACCUCUAGCCCAGAACACAGCGGGGAGGGCGACUGGAACAGGCCGGGGGCAGCCUCACGUCAGAGCUGUGCCACCAGACACUGAGCCAUGGACUCACCUUCACAGAACCAACGGGCUUCCCACCAUAACGAGGAUAAUGCAGGAAGACAGCAGGCUGCAGCAGGUACCAAAGGCAACCACCUGCUCCUGCCCAUCCACUGGACUUGACUGCCUGCCAUGCUUUUUGGUCAUCCACCUGCCAGCAGUUUUCUUGAAGGCUGAAGAAACCAGAGUCCUCCCAGAAGCAGAAGAAAGCCUCACCAUACUAUUUUCUGUGGUUCAUCCUGUGUCCUUGAUGGCCAGACUUUCUGGCUGCUGCCUUUGUCCAGGAAAUUGGGAGCCUUUUCCUCAUACACUUGGGUGAGAAGGAAAAAAAAGUGUGUGACUGUGACCUGUGUUUGUUGACGUGUAGAAAACAAGCUGGUUGCUGCCAAAACAGUCCGUGACACCUGCCCUGGCUCUUAGGUGUAGGAAUAAGAUAUCCACGAGGAUCGAGAAAUUAAAUCUAACAGAAAUAAGGCUCUGACACUUGUCUGGCUUUCGGUGUGUAAGUAGACAGUGGGCUGCCCUGCCUGGCUAAUCUUCCCCCGUCUCUAUUGACUAACCCAGACCAUGCCAGGGAAGGGAGCAUGUGGGAAUUGUUUGUGCCUCCAUCAAACUGGGGAUAGGCUUGUGGGGAAAAAGAGAAAAAAAAUUAAAAAAAGCAGCAAAGGUAUCAUUUGUGCCCACACAGGGCAGAAGUGAGGAGUCCCGUGGAGCCCGGGGUGCUGUCCUGCCUCGGAGCAGCCAGGGACCCAACCUGCCCCUUCUCAGCUUCAACGCAGGCUGAGCCUAAGGGUCACAGGAGACAGGAGGAAAGCAGAAAGGAAAGGUUUUGGGGUAGAGCCAUUAACGAAUUCCUGUAAAAUAUUUUUUCCACUCUCGUUGUUAUUAAAGCAUUUUCUUUUUUUUUUUUUUUAAAAACACUCAAAAGAUUCUUCUUUUCCAGGCUCAGACUUGAUUUAAAGCACUGCUAGGCUUCUUAGAUCUAUUUUGUCUUAGCCUGUUCAGACAAGCCUGCAGGCAGAUCCCAUUAGCACCUCCUCUUCCCCCCACCUUGGAGAAGUCCCUUUGCGUGACCCGGAGGGCGAUGAGCAGCUGGAAGUGUAAACUCAGAGACAAGCAGCGCCUGCCGCGGUGAGCACACGUGCAGCCACCAACUAAUUCACCCACUGAGGCUGUGCAGGUAAAGAAAAAAUAUCCCAAAUAGCCGGACAAUGUAAUGUAAUACGUACCCCUUCAUCUCUUUUUCUAGAAUAUUUGCAACUUCUGUUUCCCUUACUUUUAGCAAAUGGACCAAUGCAUUACACUUCUGAUAAUUCUUA
rnacentral:lncRNA from 1 species